rnacentral:rRNA from 1 species
UUUUAAAUGGCCGCAGUAUUUUGACUGUGCAAAGGUAGCAUAAUCAUUAGUUUUUUAAUUAAAAGCUUGUAUGAAAGGCUGGACGAGGUAAAAUCUGUCUCUAUUUAAAUUAUUAUAGAAUUUAACUUUUAAGUUAAAAGGCUUAAAUAUUAUUAAAAGACGAGAAGACCCUAUAGAUCUUUAUAGUUUAUUAAAUUAAAUUAAUUUAGAAAUAUUAAUGUUUUAUUUAAUUAAAUUAUUUUAUUGGGGUAAUAAAAAGAUUGAAUUAAUUCUUUUUUAUAAUAAACAUUAAUUUAUGAAUAUUAAUGAUCCAGUUUUACUGAUUAUAAGAUUAAGUUACCUUAGGGAUAACAGCGUAAUUUUUUUAGAGAGUUCAUAUCAAUAAAAAAGUUUGCGACCUCGAUGUUGGAUUAAAGAUUAUUUUAGGUGUAGAAGCUUAAUAAUUUUGGUCUGUUCGACCAUUAAAUCUUUACAUGAUCUGAGUUCAGACCGGCGUAAGCCAGGUCGGUUUCUAUCUUUAAUAAAAUAAAAUAUUUUAGUACGAAAGGACCAAAUAUUUGAUAUAUUUAUAUUUAAUUUAUUGAAUAUUA